rnacentral:rRNA from 1 species
GGCGUGCUUAACACAUGCAAGUCGAACGGAAAGGCCCUGCUUUUGUGGGGUGCUCGAGUGGCGAACGGGUGAGUAACACGUGAGUAACCUGCCCUUGACUUUGGGAUAACUUCAGGAAACUGGGGCUAAUACCGGAUAGGAGCUCCUGCUGCAUGGUGGGGGUUGGAAAGUUUCGGCGGUUGGGGAUGGACUCGCGGCUUAUCAGCUUGUUGGUGGGGUAGUGGCUUACCAAGGCUUUGACGGGUAGCCGGCCUGAGAGGGUGACCGGCCACAUUGGGACUGAGAUACGGCCCAGACUCCUACGGGAGGCAGCAGUGGGGAAUAUUGCACAAUGGGCGGAAGCCUGAUGCAGCAACGCCGCGUGCGGGAUGACGGCCUUCGGGUUGUAAACCGCUUUCGCCUGUGACGAAGCGUGAGUGACGGUAAUGGGUAAAGAAGCACCGGCUAACUACGUGCCAGCAGCCGCGGUGAUACGUAGGGUGCGAGCGUUGUCCGGAUUUAUUGGGCGUAAAGGGCUCGUAGGUGGUUGAUCGCGUCGGAAGUGUAAUCUUGGGGCUUAACCCUGAGCGUGCUUUCGAUACGGGUUGACUUGAGGAAGGUAGGGGAGAAUGGAAUUCCUGGUGGAGCGGUGGAAUGCGCAGAUAUCAGGAGGAACACCAGUGGCGAAGGCGGUUCUCUGGGCCUUUCCUGACGCUGAGGAGCGAAAGCGUGGGGAGCGAACAGGCUUAGAUACCCUGGUAGUCCACGCUGUAAACGGUGGGUACUAGGUGUGGGGUCCAUUCCACGGGUUCCGUGCCGUAGCUAACGCUUUAAGUACCCCGCCUGGGGAGUACGGCCGCAAGGCUAAAACUCAAAGGAAUUGACGGGGCCCCGCACAGGCGGCGGAGCAUGCGGAUUAAUUCGAUGCAACGCGUAGAACCUUACCUGGGUUUGACAUGGAUCGGGAGUGCUCAGAGAUGGGUGUGCCUCUUUUGGGGUCGGUUCACAGGUGGUGCAUGGCUGUCGUCAGCUCGUGUCGUGAGAUGUUGGGUUAAGUCCCGCAACGAGCGCAACCCUUGUUCACUGUUGCCAGCACGUUAUGGUGGGGACUCAGUGGAGACCGCCGGGGUCAACUCGGAGGAAGGUGGGGAUGACGUCAAGUCAUCAUGCCCCUUAUGUCCAGGGCUUCACGCAUGCUACAAUGGCUGGUACAGAGAGUGGCGAGCCUGUGAGGGUGAGCGAAUCUCGGAAAGCCGGUCUCAGUUCGGAUUGGGGUCUGCAACUCGACCUCAUGAAGUCGGAGUCGCUAGUAAUCGCAGAUCAGCAACGCUGCGGUGAAUACGUUCCCGGGGCUUGUACACACCGCCCGUCAAGUCAUGAAAGUUGGUAACACCCGAAGCCGGUGGCCUAACCGUUGUGGGGGAGCCGUCGAAGGUGGGACUGGUGAUUAGGACUAAAU